rnacentral:piRNA from 1 species
UUGCUCAAUGAUGCCUGGGAUAAAUGUCUU